AUUGAACGCUGGCGGCAGGCCUAACACAUGCAAGUCGAACGGUAGCACAGAGGAGCUUGCUCCUUGGGUGACGAGUGGCGGACGGGUGAGUAAUGUCUGGGAAACUGCCCGAUGGAGGGGGAUAACUACUGGAAACGGUAGCUAAUACCGCAUAACGUCGCAAGACCAAAGAGGGGGACCUUCGGGCCUCUUGCCAUCGGAUGUGCCCAGAUGGGAUUAGCUAGUAGGUGGGGUAACGGCUCACCUAGGCGACGAUCCCUAGCUGGUCUGAGAGGAUGACCAGCCACACUGGAACUGAGACACGGUCCAGACUCCUACGGGAGGCAGCAGUGGGGAAUAUUGCACAAUGGGCGCAAGCCUGAUGCAGCCAUGCCGCGUGUAUGAAGAAGGCCUUCGGGUUGUAAAGUACUUUCAGCGAGGAGGAAGGUGUUGAGGUUAAUAACCUCAGCAAUUGACGUUACUCGCAGAAGAAGCACCGGCUAACUCCGUGCCAGCAGCCGCGGUAAUACGGAGGGUGCAAGCGUUAAUCGGAAUUACUGGGCGUAAAGCGCACGCAGGCGGUCUGUCAAGUCGGAUGUGAAAUCCCCGGGCUCAACCUGGGAACUGCAUUCGAAACUGGCAGGCUAGAGUCUUGUAGAGGGGGGUAGAAUUCCAGGUGUAGCGGUGAAAUGCGUAGAGAUCUGGAGGAAUACCGGUGGCGAAGGCGGCCCCCUGGACAAAGACUGACGCUCAGGUGCGAAAGCGUGGGGAGCAAACAGGAUUAGAUACCCUGGUAGUCCACGCCGUAAACGAUGUCGAUUUGGAGGUUGUGCCCUUGAGGCGUGGCUUCCGGAGCUAACGCGUUAAAUCGACCGCCUGGGGAGUACGGCCGCAAGGUUAAAACUCAAAUGAAUUGACGGGGGCCCGCACAAGCGGUGGAGCAUGUGGUUUAAUUCGAUGCAACGCGAAGAACCUUACCUGGUCUUGACAUCCACAGAACUUUCCAGAGAUGGAUUGGUGCCUUCGGGAACUGUGAGACAGGUGCUGCAUGGCUGUCGUCAGCUCGUGUUGUGAAAUGUUGGGUUAAGUCCCGCAACGAGCGCAACCCUUAUCCUUUGUUGCCAGCGGUUAGGCCGGGAACUCAAAGGAGACUGCCAGUGAUAAACUGGAGGAAGGUGGGGAUGACGUCAAGUCAUCAUGGCCCUUACGACCAGGGCUACACACGUGCUACAAUGGCAUAUACAAAGAGAAGCGACCUCGCGAGAGCAAGCGGACCUCAUAAAGUAUGUCGUAGUCCGGAUUGGAGUCUGCAACUCGACUCCAUGAAGUCGGAAUCGCUAGUAAUCGUAGAUCAGAAUGCUACGGUGAAUACGUUCCCGGGCCUUGUACACACCGCCCGUCACACCAUGGGAGUGGGUUGCAAAAGAAGUAGGUAGCUUAACCUUCGGGAGGGCGCUUACCACUUUGUGAUUCAUGACUGGGGUGA
rnacentral:rRNA from 1 species